ACUCAAAGGAAUAGACGGGGGCCCGCACAAGCGGUGGAGCAUGUGGAUUAAUUCGACGCAACGCGAAGAACCUUACCAAGGCUUGACAUGGAAAUGACAGUUGUAGAAAUACAAUUUCCCUACGGGGCAUUUCACACAGGUGGUGCAUGGUUGUCGUCAGCUCGUGUCGUGAGAUGUUGGGUUAAGUCCCGCAACGAGCGCAACCCUUACGUCCGGUUGCCAGCAUAUAAGGUGGGCACAUUGGAUGGACUGCCGUGGAGAACACGGAGGAAGGUGGGGAUGAUGUCAAAUCAUCAUGCCCCUUAUGUCUUGGGCUUCACACGUGCUACAAUGGUUUAUACAAAGUGAAGCGAAGCAGUGAUGCAGAGCGAAACACAAAAAAAGACCCCAGUUCGGAUUGCAGGCUGCAACUCGCCUGCAUGAAGUUGGAAUCGCUAGUAAUCGCGAAUCAGCAUGUCGCGGUGAAUACGUUCCCGGGCCUUGUACACACCGCCCGU
rnacentral:rRNA from 1 species